GUGGGGAAUAUUGGACAAUGGGCGAAAGCCUGAUCCAGCCAUGCCGCGUGUGUGAAGAAGGUCUUCGGAUUGUAAAGCACUUUAAGUUGGGAGGAAGGGCAGUAAGUUAAUACCUUGCUGUUUUGACGUUACCGACAGAAUAAGCACCGGCUAACUUCGUGCCAGCAGCCGCGGUAAUACGAAGGGUGCAAGCGUUAAUCGGAAUUACUGGGCGUAAAGCGCGCGUAGGUGGUUUUGUAAGUUGGAGGUGAAAUCCCCGGGCUCAACCUGGGAACUGCCUGCAAAACUGCAUGACUAGAGUACGGUAGAGGGGAGUGGAAUUUCCUGUGUAGCGGUGAAAUGCGUAGAUAUAGGAAGGAACACCAGUGGCGAAGGCGACCACCUGGACUGAUACUGACACUGAGGUGCGAAAGCGUGGGGAGCAAACAGGAUUAGAUACCCGUGUAGUCC
rnacentral:rRNA from 1 species